UACGUAGGGUGCAAGCGUUGUCCGGAAUUAUUGGGCGUAAAGAGCGUGUAGGCGGCCCGACCAGUCCGCUGUGAAAGUCCAGGGCUCAACCCUGGAAUGCCGGUGGAUACUGUCGGGCUAGAGUCCGGAAUGGGCGAGUGGAAUUCCUGGUGUAGCGGUGAAAUGCGCAGAUAUCAGGAGGAACACCAGUGGCGAAGGCGGUGGUCUGGGCCGAUACUGACGCUGUAGAGCGAAAGCGUGGGGAGCGAACAGG
rnacentral:rRNA from 1 species